ACACAAUAUCUGCUGCUAAAUUGCAAUAAUUUACUGACGAGCGGUAUGAAUAGCAGCAACAGAAGAGACCAUGGCGUCCAUUCCACAAAUAUUGCGCCCCCUGCAGAUCUUGUAAUAGCCAUUCUCUCCCCAAUUUUCACCCCAUGAAUUCUUGAUAAUCCAGAAGGGCUUAUCCUUAAACCGGAUAGGAGCAUAACCUGCAGCUCCAUACCCCACAAGAAGCACCCCAUGAUCCUGACUCUUUGAGCAAAUGUAUGGGCAAGAAACUCCUCCAAUAUAUGUCUGCAUAAACAUUGCGUUGAUCCCCACUGCAAGUGGACCGUUCUUCACCAAAUUUGCAGCAAUUUGUUCUUCAUCAAUAGAAAUAACACUGAAGUUAGAUACAGAUGCAGCAAUUUUGCUUCUGUCAAACUUGCACGGUCCACGAUCAGUCCCAGUGUAAGGAUAAUCCUCCUCGCGCUCCAGUCCCCCAGCCUUGAGGGUGUACUCAAAAGCAGAAGUCAUCAACCCUCCAUUGCAGCCUGAA
rnacentral:misc_RNA from 1 species